UCACAAGACUCGAACAUGUAACUUUUUAAAAGCUUUAAGAGGAAGGAAGUCAGCCACUAAAUGAACACCAAACCCUACGAUAAUUACAUGAAGGGGACUGGAGUAGUAUGAAAAUGUGAACUGCCUUCUUGAGAGCUGCAACACUGAUUAUACAGGAGAUGCUGUUAGAAGGACUAAUGUGUUAAAGGUGGACAAAUGAGGAUGAUUUGGCUACAAGACUGUGGCACCACUCCAGUGAAUCAAGAACCUUUAAAGGAGACAGAAAGUGCAAGAGAAGAGGAACUCACCCUUCUGUAUCUUUCAUUUAAUAGUGGAGGGGGAGAAUGCAGAACCAGGAGUGAUUGUGCAUCUUCAUCACAGGAUUUCUCACCAAAAACCUUUAAAGAGGAGACUGAGAACAAGAACAUUUAGGACCAUAAAUUUAUAUUACUUUUCCUCACCCACAAUGAAGAAACUGAAAAUAAAAACUAAGAUAGUUUUACAGAGACAGUUCUGAUCUUUGCCUUUC